GACGAACGCUGGCGGCAUGCCUAAUACAUGCAAGUCGAGCGAACAGAUGAAGUGCUUGCACUUCUGACGUUAGCGGCGAACGGGUGAGUAACACGUAAGGAAUCUACCUAUAAGCGGGGGAUAACAUUCGGAAACGGGUGCUAAUACCGCAUAAUAUCUUCUUCCGCAUGGAAGAAGAUUGAAAGACGGCUCUGCUGUCACUUAUAGAUGACCUUGCGGUGCAUUAGUUAGUUGGUGGGGUAAUGGCCUACCAAGACGAUGAUGCAUAGCCGACCUGAGAGAGUGAUCGGCCACAUUGGGACUGAGACACGGCCCAAACGCCUACGGGAGGCAGCAGUAGGGAAUCUUCCGCAAUGGGCGAAAGCCUGACGGAGCAAUGCCGCGUGAGUGAAGAAGGCCUUCGUGUCGUAAAACUCUGUUAUAAGAGAAGAACAAAUUGUAGAGUAACUGCUACAGUCUUGACGGUAUCUUAUCAGAAAGCCACGGCUAACUACGUGCCAGCCGCCGCCGUAA
rnacentral:rRNA from 1 species